rnacentral:rRNA from 1 species
CAGUAGUCAUAUGCUUGUCUCAAAGAUUAAGCCAUGCAUGUCUAAGUAUAAGCAAUCUAUACUGUGAAACUGCGAAUGGCUCAUUAAAUCAGUUAUCGUUUAUUUGAUAUGUACCUUACUACAUGGAUAACCGUGGUAAUUCUAGAGCUAAUACAUGCGAAAAGCCCCGACUUCGGGAGGGGCGUAUUUAUUAGAUAAAAAACCAAUGCCCUUCGGGGCUCCUUGGUGAUUCAGAAUAACUAAACGAAUCGCAUGGCCUUGCGCCGGCGAUGGUUCAUUCAAAUUUCUGCCCUAUCAACUUUCGAUGGUAGGAUAGUGGCCUACCAUGGUAUCAACGGGUAACGGGGAAUUAGGGUUCUAUUCCGGAGAGGGAGCCUGAGAAACGGCUACCACAUCCAAGGAAGGCAGCAGGCGCGCAAAUUACCCAAUCCCGACACGGGGAGGUAGUGACAAUAAAUACUGAUACAGGGCUCUUUUGGGUCUUGUAAUUGGAAUGAGUACAAUUUAAAUCCCUUAACGAGGAACAAUUAGAGGGCAAGUCUGGUGCCAGCAGCCGCGGUAAUUCCAGCUCUAAUAGCGUAUAUUAAAUUUGUUGCAGUUAAAAAGCUCGUAGUUGAAACUUGGGCCUGGCUGGCCGGUCCGCCUCACCGCGUGCACUGGUCCGGCCGGGCCUUUCCUCCUGGCGAACCGCAUGCCCUUCACUGGGUGUGCCGGGGAACCAGGACUUUUACUUUGAAAAAAUUAGAGUGUUCAAAGCAGGCCUUUGCUCGAAUACAUUAGCAUGGAAUAAUAGAAUAGGACGUGCGAUCCUAUUUUGUUGGUUUCUAGGACCGCCGUAAUGAUUAAUAGGGACAGUCGGGGGCAUCAGUAUUCAAUCGUCAGAGGUGAAAUUCUUGGAUCGAUUGAAGACUAACUACUGCGAAAGCAUUUGCCAAGGAUGUUUUCAUUAAUCAGUGAACGAAAGUUAGGGGAUCGAAGACGAUCAGAUACCGUCGUAGUCUUAACCGUAAACUAUGCCGACUAGGGAUCGGGCGAUGUUACUAUUUUGACUCGCUCGGCACCUUAAGAGAAAUCAAAGUUUUUGGGUUCUGGGGGGAGUAUGGUCGCAAGGCUGAAACUUAAAGAAAUUGACGGAAGGGCACCACCAGGCGUAAACGCAGUUAACUCUGCGCCUAACAGCGGCCCGAAAGGGUGGGUGGUGUCCGGGGCUCGAGGGCCCGAACCAAACGCUAGUCCGCUUCGGCGGGCGACAUGCUCAAACUGCGGGGACCUCCUAAAGCCUCUUGCUACCGCGCUCCCGCCGAAAGGCGGGCUGCCGCACCAGGGUAACGACCUCGGGUAUGGUAAUAACGCAAGGGAUGUAACAAUGGACGAUCCGCAUCCAAGCCCCUAAGGCACGCCGGUGCUACGGGGAAGGUUCAGAGACUAAAUGGGCAUGGGUCUUCUCGAAAGGCUUAAGAUAUAGUCCGGGGGCGGAGGAAACUCCGCCUGCUAUUCGUAAAACGGGAGCCUGCGGCUUAAUUUGACUCAACACGGGGAAACUCACCAGGUCCAGACACAAUAAGGAUUGACAGAUUGAGAGCUCUUUCUUGAUUUUGUGGGUGGUGGUGCAUGGCCGUUCUUAGUUGGUGGAGUGAUUUGUCUGCUUAAUUGCGAUAACGAACGAGACCUUCUUCUACUAAAUAGCCCGGCUAGCUUUGGCUGGUCGCCGGCUUCUUAGAGAGACUAUCGGCUCAAGCCGAUGGAAGUUGGAGGCAAUAACAGGUCUGUGAUGCCCUUAGAUGUUCUGGGCCGCACGCGCGCUACACUGACAGAGCCAACGAGUUCAUCACCUUGGCCGGAAGGUCUGGGUAAUCUUGUUAAACUCUGUCGUGCUGGGGAUAGAGCAUUGCAAUUAUUGCUCUUCAACGAGGAAUGCCUAGUAAGCGCACGUCAUCAGCGUGCGUUGACUACGUCCCUGCCCUUUGUACACACCGCCCGUCGCUACUACCGAUUGAAUGGCUUAGUGAGGCCUUCGGACUGGCCCAAGGAGGUCGGCAACGACCACCUA